GGUUGGAAUGGGCAUGGUGUGCAAGGUACUUGAGGAGGUGCCUUGUCGGAUGUCGUCAUCUCCGGAUCGAGCCUGUCUCGAAGCCCAGUCCUUUGCAGUACUGUUCCUUAGAAGUGGGAGCUUUGUAGCGGCAAUGAUUCAGCGAUGGUUCAACAUCGUCUCCUUAUUCGACUUUGGCUAUUUAUUUUAUUUCCUAGUCUGGCGGGAUAUGCCAGGAUAUUGUUAGUUCUCUUGUCAUUUCUUUUGCUUCAUUUCGCUUCAUUGUAUAUCAUACUCCAUUGUGUUAUCCUUCCCUACAGAUCGAUAGUGCAAUGGGGUAUGAUAUCAAAUCAUAAUGCAUGUUUGUUGCAAUCCUUACUGUAUCCUACUCUCCAUGCGGGUUGUGCAUGGGUUAUCGUAUUUUUCACUAUUUUUCUUUUCUUUUUUCUUUUC